rnacentral:rRNA from 1 species
AGAGUUUGAUCCUGGCUCAGGAUGAACGCUAGCGGCAGGCCUAAUACAUGCAAGUCGAGGGGUAAGGCUCUUUUCGGAGAGUACACGACCGGCGCACGGGUGCGUAACGCGUAUGCAACCUACCUUUAACUGAGAGAUAGCCCCGAGAAAUCGGGAUUAAUAUCACAUAAUACCACAUUGUUUCAUGACAGAGUGGUUAAAGCUCCGGCGGUUAAAGAUGGGCAUGCGUGACAUUAGCUUGUUGGUGAGGUAACGGCUCACCAAGGCAACGAUGUCUAGGGGUUCUGAGAGGAUGAUCCCCCACACUGGUACUGAGACACGGACCAGACUCCUACGGGAGGCAGCAGUAAGGAAUAUUGCGCAAUGGAGGCAACUCUGACGCAGCCAUGCCGCGUGAAGGAAGAAGGCCUUAUGGGUCGUAAACUUCUUUUAUUUAGGAAUAAUCCCCCCGACGUGUCGGGGGUUGAAGGUACUAAACGAAUAAGCACCGGCUAACUCCGUGCCAGCAGCCGCGGUAAUACGGAGGGUGCAAGCGUUAUCCGGAUUUAUUGGGUUUAAAGGGUGCGCAGGCGGACCAAUAAGUCAGUGGUGAAAUCUCGGGGCUCAACCCCGAAACUGCCAUUGAUACUGCUGGUCUUGAAUACGGUUGAAGUAGGCGGAAUGUAGCAUGUAGCGGUGAAAUGCAUAGAGAUGCUACAGAACACCGAUCGCGAAGGCAGCUUACUAAGCCGAUAUUGACGCUCAGGCACGAAAGCGUGGGGAGCGAACAGGAUUAGAUACCCUGGUAGUCCACGCCGUAAACUAUGAUCACUCGUUGUUGGCAAUACACAGUCAGUGACCAAGCGAAAGCGAUAAGUGAACCGCCUGGGGAGUACGGUCGCAAGAUUAAAACUCAAAGGAAUAGACGGGGACCCGCACAAGUGGUGGAGCAUGUGGUUUAAUUCGAAGAUACGCGAAGAACCUUACCUAGCCUUGACAUUGAUUGAACGGACCAGAGAUGGACCGGUGCCCUUCGGGGAACAUGAAAACAGGUGCUGCACGGCUGUCGUCAGCUCGUGUCGUGAGAUGUUGGGUUAAGUCCCGCAACGAGCGCAACCCUCGUCCUUAGUUGCCAGCAGGUUAAGCUGGGCACUCUAGGGAGACUGCCUUCGUAAGGAGGAGGAAGGUGAGGACGACGUCAAGUCAUCAUGGCCCUUAUGGCUAGGGCUACACACGUGCUACAAUGGGGCGUACAGAGAGUUGCGAUACCGCGAGGUGGAGCUAAUCUCACAAAGCGUCUCUCAGUUCGGAUUGAAGUCUGCAACUCGACUUCAUGAAGCUGGAAUCACUAGUAAUCGUAGAUCAGCAAUGCUACGGUGAAUACGUUCCCGGGUCUUGUACUCACCGCCCGUCACACCAUGGGAGUUGAUUUCACCCGAAAUUGGGAAGCUAACCUUCGGGGGGCUACCACUUACGGUGGAAUUAGCGACUGGGGUGAAGUCGUAACAAGGUAACC